UACAGAGGGUGCAAGCGUUAAUCGGAAUGACUGGGCGUAAAGGGCACGUAGGCGGCUAGAUGUGUUAUAGGUGAAAUCCCCGGGCUUAACCUGGGAACUGCCUAUAAAACUGUUUGGCUAGAAUAUAGGAGAGGUAAGUGGAAUUUCCGGUGUAGCGGUGAAAUGCGUAGAUAUCGGAAAGAACACCAGUGGCGAAGGCGACUUACUGGUCUAAUAUUGACGCUGAGGUGCGAAAGCGUGUGGAGCAAACGGG
rnacentral:rRNA from 1 species